UGAUGCCAGGGUGCAGAAAGUCAUACAUCCCAUGCUUGCAUGGGAAUGGAUGACUUUGGCGCCCGCGAAACAUGAGAAAGUAGCCAUUUUUCACAGAAAAAAUGUGCGAAUUUCGAAUGUUUCCAGGAUUUCGGGAGUGCGCAGCACGGAGAAAUCCGCAGGCAUCA
rnacentral:sRNA from 1 species